UUGCACGCUGGCGGCAUGCUUUACACAUGCAAGUCGAACGGUAACAGGCCGCAAGGUGCUGACGAGUGGCGAACGGGUGAGUAAUGCAUCGGAACGUGCCCAGUCGUGGGGGAUAACUACUCGAAAGAGUAGCUAAUACCGCAUACGAUCUAUGGAUGAAAGCGGGGGACCGUAAGGCCUCGCGCGAUUGGAGCGGCCGAUGUCAGAUUAGGUAGUUGGUGGGGUAAAGGCUCACCAAGCCAACGAUCUGUAGCUGGUCUGAGAGGACGACCAGCCACACUGGGACUGAGACACGGCCCAGACUCCUACGGGAGGCAGCAGUGGGGAAUUUUGGACAAUGGGCGCAAGCCUGAUCCAGCAAUGCCGCGUGCAGGAAGAAGGCCUUCGGGUUGUAAACUGCUUUUGCACGGAACGAAACGGCUCUGGUUAAUACCCGGGGCUAAUGACGGUACCGUAAGAAUAAGCACCGGCUAACUACGUG
rnacentral:rRNA from 1 species